rnacentral:tRNA from 1 species
UAGCUCAGUUGGUAGAGCAAUGGAUUGAAGCUCCAUGUGUCGGCGGUUCGAUUCCGUC